rnacentral:other from 1 species
AAAUCUCUGCGGUGCGCGUGACCUGCAACUUGGGUUCGCCGCCUUAAUGACAAACAUAUCGGGAGCUUGACCCGCAAAAUACGGCCGCCAUGCCGCCGCGCGCGGAAGGCGAAAGUGUUUCGGUAGCACCCACCUGCUGACAAAAAGGCAGUAGGAACCCCAAUCGCUUGACGGCAUUUGCGGAGAUUUU